ACGGAAAAAAAACGACCCUUAACAAUAAUGGCAUUACUCAAAUGAAUUGUUAGAAUUGGUAAUGAAUUGAAAUGCUUAUGCAACCAUUUUGAACAACUCAAGCAAUACAGCAAAAGACAGAUCUAAUAUUACCAAAUAAAAUUGAAAAUCCAAGCUUAAAUAAAAAAAAUAACUUAUCGGAAAAUGGAUUUUUUUUUUUUUCACAUGAAUCAAAAACCAUUUCAUUCCCACCUUACUCAUAAAGCUAUGACCAACUCUAAUAGUGCAGAUUCUUAACACUAGAAGCAACAUCAAGCUAAGAAAAAAGGCAAAACAGUUAUUCAAAAUCAUGCUUCUUAUAAUUAUCAUGUAUAUCGACACCAUAUUUUGGCCGAUCACCAAAAUCAAUGAACUUUGAAAAUCGACCCUCAACUGACAUUCCUCGGUUACAAGUAACCUGAUUAGGAAAUAAGCCGAUCCCGCAUCUAGUCGAAUGUUUUCCUAUCUCUCAACAAAGAAGGUCACACCAAUAUCAGGUCCCCACGCAGUUCAAUCACAUUUCCGAUCUCCCAAGGAGAUCACAUUAAUAUCAAGUCUCCAUGACAUACGAUUCAUUCCCGAUCUCUCAAACCAAUUACCAAGUAUCCUUGCCAGUCAAUCACAUUUUCGAUCUCUCG
rnacentral:misc_RNA from 1 species